GGGCGGGGCCGGGCGGGGCGGGCGGGCGGCCGGGCUUCCCCCACCGCCCAGGGGCGGGCCCGGCCGCUCGGGGCUCGGGCAACCGCUUUCCUCUGCCGUGGGAAUGGAACACAAGGUCAAACGUUUGCUUAAAAUGAAGCGGUGCCGUUAUUCCUGGAAGGCGCUCACGUCGCUCUCGGUGUAACUUCUACAGCUGGAGCGCUGGGCAGCCACUCACUGUGCUUAAUCCAUUAGCUGACGUCCUUUAGUGCUGAAGAACAGAGAAGCCCAAAAGGAGAGUCUCAGGAGAGCUGCUGAAGGUCUUUCAUGUAAAAGUAGCUGGAGUUUUGGACCUGGAUGAUCACUCUAAAAGAAAGGCUCAUCAGGAUUUCUGCCAGGGGAUCCCUGAAGCAGCACCCAGGCAGAGGCACAGAAACAGGGAUGUGGGCACCACGGAGCUCGGUCCAUGCUAGAAGAUCACCGAACCUGCUGGGUUUGCCUGUGUAUCAGGGAUUCAC